AGGUGAACCUGCGGAAGGAUCAUUACAGUAGUCAUCCGGGUUGCCGCAAGGCCUCCCGGGUAACCUACCACCCUUUGUUUAUUACACUUUGUUGCUUUGGCAGGCCUGCCCUCGGGCUGCUGGCUCCGGCCGGCGAGCGUCUGCCAGAGGACCUAAACUCUGUUUGUCUAUAAUGUCUGAGUACUAUAUAAUAGUUAAAACUUUCAACAACGGAUCUCUUGGUUCUGGCAUCGAUGAAGAACGCAGCGAAAUGCGAUAAGUAAUGUGAAUUGCAGAAUUCAGUGAAUCAUCGAAUCUUUGAACGCACAUUGCGCCCCCUGGUAUUCCGGGGGGCAUGCCUGUCCGAGCGUCAUUACAACCCUCAAGCUCAGCUUGGUGUUGGGCCCCGCCGCCCCGGCGGGCCCUAAAGUCAGUGGCGGUGCCGUCCGGCUCCGAGCGUAGUAAUUCUUCUCGCUCUGGAGGUCCGGUCGUGUGCUUGCCAGCAACCCCCAAUUUUUUUCAGGUUGACCUCGGAUCAGGUAGGGAUACCCGCUGAACUUAAGCAUAUCAAUAAGCGGAGGA
rnacentral:rRNA from 1 species